UCAGGAUUCAGGAGAAUGAAUAUCCAGAGUCCUCGAUGCUCUUAAUAAGUAGGCUUAUCCUCAUCUUAUCUGUAGAGAAGUCAUACGUAAAAAAAUAUGAAUAUGGUUUCAUGAUUCAUGGUUGAAAAACUAAUUUUGAAGUUAGGAGAUCAGGGUUUGAGUCAUUCCAAUGCAAUUCAAUCAUAGGCCAUUGUGAACGUUUUAAAAUGACAAGAAUAUCCAGUACUCAGGUUUUGGAGGUUAGUAUGUGCUAUGGCUCAUGAUGAUCUAUCAGUUACGCACGG